CCUGCGUCGACCGGCAGUCGUAGUGGUUGUAGUCCUCGAUCUCCUUGAGCACCGAGGAGGCCUCGUCGGUGCGGCCUUCGGCGCGCAGGUC
rnacentral:tRNA from 1 species